rnacentral:rRNA from 1 species
UACAGAGGUCCCGAGCGUUGUUCGGAUUCACUGGGCGUAAAGGGUGCGUAGGUGGUGAGGUAAGUCGGAUGUGAAAUCCCCGGGCUCAACCUGGGAACCGCGCUUGAGACUGGAGAACUAGAGUUCGGGAGAGGAUGGUGGAAUUCCCAGUGUAGAGGUGAAAUUCGUAGAUAUUGGGAAGAACACCGAUGGCGAAGGCAGCCAUCUGGACCGACACUGACGCUGAGGCGCGAAAGCGUGGGGAGCAAACAGGG